rnacentral:rRNA from 1 species
UACGGGGGGGGCAAGCGUUGUUCGGAAUUACUGGGCGUAAAGGGCUCGUAGGCGGCCAACUAAGUCGGACGUGAAAUCCCUCGGCUUAACCGGGGAACUGCGUCCGAUACUGGAUGGCUUGAGUUUGGGAGAGGGAUGCGGAAUUCCAGGUGUAGCGGUGAAAUGCGUAGAUAUCUGGAGGAACACCAGAGGCGAAGGCGGGCUACUGGGCCGAUACUGACGCUGAGACACGAAAGCGUGGGUAGCAAACAGG